rnacentral:rRNA from 1 species
UGCCAGCCGCCGCGGUAAUACGAAUGGGGCAAGCGUUGUUCGGAAUCACUGGGCUUAAAGCGUAUGUAGGCUGAUUUACAAGUCAGGAGUGAAAUCCCAGGGCUCAACCCUGGAACUGCUCUUGAAACUGUAGAUCUAGAAUCCCGGAGGGGUCAGUGGAAUUCCUAGUGUAGAGGUGAAAUUCGCAGAUAUUAGGAGGAACACCAGUGGCGAAGGCGACUGACUGGACGGGUAUUGACGCUCAGAUACGAAAGCGUGGGGAGCAAACAGGAUUAGAUA